GAGAGCUGAGGUCAGCCGGCUGGGGUGUGGAGCAGCAGCAGGAGGAGGAGGAGAAGGGAGGAAGUCACACUGAUCUCCAGGGGUGAAAGGUCAACUAGAUGACAACCCAAAGGUCAAAACAAUCACGGAAGACAUUUAAUAUACUUGUACAACAGAGAACUCAAGAUUGUUAAGACCACAGAUGUAUUCGAAGAUUGCACAAUUGUAGGCUCAACGUCAUUUUUUUC